GAUGAACGCUGGCGGCGUGCCUAAUACAUGCAAGUCGAGCGAACGGACGAGAAGCUUGCUUCUCUGAUGUUAGCGGCGGACGGGUGAGUAACACGUGGAUAACCUACCUAUAAGACUGGGAUAACUUCGGGAAACCGGAGCUAAUACCGGAUACUAUUUUGAACCGCAUGGUUCAAAAGUGAAAGACGGUCUUGCUGUCACUUAUAGAUGGAUCCGCGCUGCAUUAGCUAGUUGGUAAGGUAACGGCUUACCAAGGCAACGAUGCAUAGCCGACCUGAGAGGGUGAUCGGCCACACUGGAACUGAGACACGGUCCAGACUCCUACGGGAGGCAGCAGUAGGGAAUCUUCCGCAAUGGGCGAAAGCCUGACGGAGCAACGCCGCGUGAGUGAUGAAGGUCUUCGGAUCGUAAAACUCUGUUAUUAGGGAAGAACAUAUGUGUAAGUAACUGUGCACAUCUUGACGGUACCUAAUCAGAAAGCCACGGCUAACUACGUG
rnacentral:rRNA from 1 species